rnacentral:rRNA from 1 species
UACGGAGGAUCCGAGCGUUAUCCGGAUUUAUUGGGUUUAAAGGGUGUGCAGGCGGGAUGUUAAGUCGGCGGUGAAAUUUUGCAGCUCAACUGUAAAAGUGCCUUCGAUACUGGCUUCCUUGAGUGUGGAUGAAGUAGGCGGAAUUUGUGGUGUAGCGGUGAAAUGCUUAGAUAUCACGAGGAACUCCGAUUGCGCAGGCAGCUUACUAAACCACUACUGACGCUCAUGCACGAAGGCGUGGGGAUCAAACGGGAUUAGAUACCCCU